CAGUAAUGCACCCUCUGCUCACUCCUCCCUUCUUGGUCAGUUCUGAUGGUCUCUGCAGGUCGCUCCUUUGAAGCAUUGCCAGCGACAAGCGUUUAGCUGAGGUGCUUAUGUCAAGAUUCAAGCUGUUAAAAGUCACUGUCAAUCACCGAAAGAUAAACUACUGGGUUUUUGAAGGAUUUGAUGUCUCCCGAUCACUGCAGAUUAUCAGAACCAUAUUGUGUUAUUCACAUCAAGGUCUGCUGUGCUUAGUGGAGGACAUCUGAGAGAGGCGUGCUGUACAGUAAAGCCCAGCUGCUGUCCAUGGUCUCAAUUCUGAAUCUGGAACUUCCUGCCUCGGUGAGCUGGGUGAGUUAGAUUCACUGGUAUUUAAGUUUCUACAUCUGCAGGUAAAGAAUACAACCCUCCUUCACAGAGAUGCUUACAGGAAUUCACAGAUAAUAUUUGUAGAGUGCUUAGAUACAAAGAU
rnacentral:lncRNA from 1 species